CUCAAGCCUGCCAACUUUCAAACUGGAACUUAAGCCAUAUGCUCUCCUGGUCUUCAGGCCUUUCGAUUCAGUCUUAAACUCCACCUUGACUCCUCUGGGUCUGUCUCUUGAGAGUUUCCUUAGCCUCUGUAACCACACAAACCAAUUUCUUAUCAUCUAUCUAUCUAUCUAUCUAUCUUUGGAGAACCCUGACUAAUGCAUUUAUGUAUAAAAUAUUUGCAUUUCGAUAGGAAUUAGAGAAGCAACAGAUUUGACAAAGGACUGAGGUGGAGGUGAAGGUGUUGCCUUUGUGGGUAAAGAAGGACACUGCAGGUCAUUCUACAGGAAACAGAACUCACUGUGGUUAAAGAUAUCUGGGAAAUCUGGAAAGGAAUCCAAGCCUGUCCAACUCCAAAGCCAAAGAAAUGUUCAUGGUGAUUUUACAGAGACCCUGGAAUUAUCCAUUAUUUUGCCUGAGACACAUAGAUAAGAAACCUCGAGACUCAGCGAAGUGAAGAGACCUGUUAAUCAUGCAGCUUGAAUGCUGUGACCACGCUGAAGCUCAGACCUCCUAACUCCAAGUCAUGUAUAUUGCUCCAUAUCCAGGGGUGAAAAAAGGAAUUUAGACUCUUACUGGAGCUGGUGAGACAACAGGCGUGGGUUGAGGACGGUUACCUGAAAAAUCUCUGUCUUUCCUGAAGUAAAAAAAAAAACCAUGGUUUUGUGUAAGCAAUGCAAACGGGAGUAUGCAAGUGUCGUGGCAGAAUGUAUGCAUGGUGUAUCUAUAAUUACACAGAGGCUUUGCAUUCAGAAAUCGUAUCAUUCAACUGUUUUACUGCCUAGAACGCUUCAGCGGAUUGAGAUGAUUUCAACCUGGCGGAAAAUGGCGAUCGUCUUUCGCACAGGUAAGAGGCCUUAGCAGCUCUCCCCUUUCCCUAGUUCACAUUCCUCUAAGCCCUCGAUUGACUCUUCCAUUUGUAACAUGAAGAUGCCAUGGGGCUAUCACCGUCCAACUUUUCUGGACGUGAACAAGAUAUGUCUGUUUUACCUUUUUGUCAAUACUUUGACCAGGAAAUGCUUAAAAUCACGCCACAGAGUUUGCAAGCAGACAUUGUCUGUUUCGGGCUCGGUGGCAUCUAUUGUCAGUAGACCUAAACUUCAAUCCUCUCCUUAAAACUUGCCUUUUCUUUGCCAGUGCGGUUGAAUGUC